AAUCUUGAUGGUUUUUAGAAACAGAUAGAGAGCUCGUCUGAAGGAGAUGGGACAUACGAUUGGGAGGUUAAGCGGCCCAUCCUGAAACGCUGGAAACAGAUGGAGAGCUCAUCUAAUAAUGAUGUGAUCAAGUCAGGGAAAUAUGUACCAAAUGAAAGAGAAGAUUCAAAAGAGAACCAGAGAAAGGAAGACAUGAUGCAAGAACAGGAUGAGAAAGCACUGAUGAGCCCAUCUCGAGUCCUACCACUGAAUACAGCCAGCGUUACACUGGAUCUUGUCACUCUGAAGGCACCUAUAU